rnacentral:piRNA from 1 species
GGCUACUCAGAGCUCCAGGACAGUGUGU